GACGAACGCUGGCGGCGUGCUUAACACAUGCAAGUCGAACGAUAAAGGAGAGAAACUCGAACUUCUGUUCAAGUGUCACGUCGGAUUAGUGGCAGACUGGUGAGUAACCCGUUGGCAACCUACCUCUUACAAAGGCAUAGCCUCGGAAAACCGUGAUUAAUACCAUAUGACACAUUCAUAAGGCAUCUUAAGACUGUUAAAUCUACGGCGGUAAGAGAUGCGCGGGGGUCCCAUUAGCUAGUUGGUGAGGUAACGGCCCACCAAGGCGUCGAUGGGUAACCGGGCUGAGAGGGUGAACGCUCACAUCGGAGCUGAGACACGGUCCAAAAUACUGCGGGAGGGAGCCGUGGGGGAUAUAGCAAAAUGGAGGGAACUAAGAUGGAGCGAGGCGGGGUGAGCGAUGAAGGAAUUGGUUAAGGAAAGCUAGGUUAUAUGGGAAGACAAGGACGGUACCAGAGGAGAAAGCCCCGGCUAAAUACGUG
rnacentral:rRNA from 1 species